rnacentral:rRNA from 1 species
UACGGGGGGGGCAAGCGUUGUUCGGAAUUACUGGGCGUAAAGGGCUCGUAGGCGGCCAACUAAGUCAUACGUGAAAUCCCUCGGCUUAACCGGGGAACUGCGUCUGAUACUGGAUGGCUUGAGUUCGGGAGAGGGAUGCGGAAUUCCAGGUGUAGCGGUGAAAUGCGUAGAUAUCUGGAGGAACACCGGUGGCGAAGGCGGCGUUCUGGACUGUUUCUGACACUGAAAAACGAAAGCCAGGGGAGCAAACGGG